rnacentral:rRNA from 1 species
AACGAACGCUGGCGGCAGGCUUAACACAUGCAAGUCGAGCGCCCCGCAAGGGGAGCGGCAGACGGGUGAGUAACGCGUGGGAAUCUACCCAUCUCUACGGAAUAACGCAUGGAAACGUGUGCAAAUACCGUAUACGUCCUUCGGGAGAAAGAUUUAUAGGAGAUGGAUGAGCCCGCGUUGGAUUAGCCAGUUGGUGGGGUAAAGGCCUACCAAGGCGACGAUCCAUAGCUGGUCUGAGAGGAUGAUCAGCCACACUGGGACUGAGACACGGCCCAGACUCCUACGGGAGGCAGCAGUGGGGAAUAUUGGACAAUGGGCGCAAGCCUGAUCCAGCCAUGCCGCGUGAGUGAUGAAGGCCCUAGGGUUGUAAAGCUCUUUCACCGGUGAAGAUAAUGACGGUAACCGGAGAAGAAGCCCCGGCUAACUUCGUGCCAGCCGCCGCAGUAAGAC